rnacentral:rRNA from 1 species
AGCGAACGCUGGCGGCAGGCCUAACACAUGCAAGUCGAACGGAUCCUUCGGGAUUAGUGGCGGACGGGUGAGUAACACGUGGGAACGUGCCCUUUGGUUCGGAACAACUCAGGGAAACUUGAGCUAAUACCGGAUGUGCCCUUCGGGGGAAAGAUUUAUCGCCAUUGGAGCGGCCCGCGUCUGAUUAGCUAGUUGGUGAGGUAACGGCCCACCAAGGCGACGAUCAGUAGCUGGUCUGAGAGGAUGAUCAGCCACACUGGGACUGAGACACGGCCCUGACUCCUACGGGAGGCAGCAGUGGGGAAUCUUGCGCAAUGGGCGAAAGCCUGACGCAGCCAUGCCGCGUGAAUGAUGAAGGUCUUAGGAUUGUAAAAUUCUUUCAGCGGGGACGAUAAUGACGGUACCCGCAGAAGAAGCUCCGGCUAACUUCGUG